rnacentral:rRNA from 1 species
UAGGGAAUCUUCGGCAAUGGACGAAAGUCUGACCGAGCAACGCCGCGUGAGUGAAGAAGGUUUUCGGAUCGUAAAACUCUGUUGUUAGAGAAGAACAAGGACGUUAGUAACUGAACGUCCCCUGACGGUAUCUAACCAGAAAGCCACGGCUAACUACGUGCCAGCAGCCGCGGUAAUACGUAGGUGGCAAGCGUUGUCCGGAUUUAUUGGGCGUAAAGCGAGCGCAGGCGGUUUCUUAAGUCUGAUGUGAAAGCCCCCGGCUCAACCGGGGAGGGUCAUUGGAAACUGAGGGACUUGAGUGCAGAAGAGGAGAGUGGAAUUCCAUGUGUAGCGGUGAAAUGCGUAGAUAUAUGGAAAAACACCAGUGGCGAAGGCGGCUCUCUGGUCUGUAACUGACGCUGAGGCUCGAAAGCGUGGGGAGCAAACAGG